CCUUAAUGACUUCAGCUGGUGGCACAAAGCUCUAUUGUCAUCAGCAUUCUGUGCAUAAAGCUGCUGUGUGCUGAGGAGCUGCCAGGUACAUUAACUCUUGUCAACUUAAGGGAGAUUUGUUAUAAGUGAAGCUGACUCCUUCGUAAGAAGUUCAGGCCGAGCCUUGACACUUAAUCUAAAUACUGAAGCUGAGGAGAUUUUACUGGAGGAAUCCCCACGUGAAGGAGGAGAAGAGUUGGCUUGUAGGACCAACUGUCUGACAUGUUGACUUGAGCUCCAGUGUGCUUCCCAUCCCAAGUGUAUUGUGAAGAUCUCAAGGGAUAUUUGACAAAAUUUCUUAUGGGAUGUAUCAUAUAAAUCUAAAUCUGGAAUUGACAGGUAACAAGAAAAUCAGAUUUUGUUAAGCAUAGAUCAAUGAAUAGUGAUGACAUGUGGGUAAAAAGGCCGAAAUUGUUCUAAGAAGAAUAAAAUUUGAAGGAGCUGUCUAGCUGUCA
rnacentral:lncRNA from 1 species